UAGCGGCGAGUGAGCGGCAAGAGCUCAGAUUUGAAAUCGUGCUAAUUUUUUUGGCACGAGUUGUAGAGUGUAGGCGGGAGUCUUUGUGGAGCACGGUGUCCAAGUCCCUUGGAACAGGGCGCCUGAGAGGGUGAGAGCCCCGUGGGGUGUCGUGCGAAGCUUUGAGGCCCUGCUGACGAGUCGAGUUGUUUGGGAAUGCAGCUCCAAGUGGGUGGUAAAUUCCAUCUAAGGCUAAAUACUGGCGAGAGACCGAUAGCGAACAAGUACUGUGAAGGAAAGAUGAAAAGCACUUUGAAAAGAGAGUGAAACAGCACGUGAAAUUGUUGAAAGGGAAGGGUAUUGGGCCCGACAUGGGGAGUGCGCACCGCUGUCUCUUGUAGGCGGCGCUCUGGGCGCUCUCUGGGCCAGCAUCGGUUCUUGCUGCGGGAGAAUGGGUGCCGGAAAGUGGCUCUUCGGAGUGUUAUAGCCGGCGCCAGAUACCGCGUGCGGGGACCGAGGACUGCGGCUUCUGUCUCGGAUGCUGGCACAACGGCGCAAUACCGCCCGUCUUGA
rnacentral:rRNA from 1 species